rnacentral:RNase_MRP_RNA from 1 species
AAUGCUUUGAGACGUUCCACUCUCAACAGCAAAGCGUUUUCUACACAUGGUAGUACCGAUGUCGUCGUACCCACGGGCUUCAACAAACGAAUGCCCUCGAUGUCAUCAUCGGACGGGGCAAAGGAACUCGGUAGUUCGCUUCAGACAAGUGCGACCCAAUUGACAGUGAGUACCUAGUCACCAUCAGUUGGAGCAACUACCGGUAAUGGACAAAACACAGAUUGAUUCCAUACCAAUUAUGAA